CCUAUGUUUGGAUUUGUAUUAUAUUGUUUUUCAAUCUCUUUCCUAUUCUUAAUGGCAACUGUGCAUUCUUGAUCCCACCAAGGUGGAGAUGGUGUAUGAUGACGUGAAGUAUUUUUUUUUGGAAAUGAUUCAUCAGCAGCUUUUAUAAAUGCUGCAGUCAAAGCCUCAGCACAUAGUGACUCAUUUUCUGAUGAUAUUUCAGGAAGAAAAGAUAACUGAUUCCUGAGUGAAGUUUGAAAUUUAUCCCAGUUAGAAUUAUUGUUAAUAUGAUACUUUAUUGAUUCAGACUGAUUCGAUUUACUUUUAUCUUUACCUGGAAAUGAUAGAAUUAUAGGAAAGUGAUCACUUCCAUGACUUGACUGUAACACAUUCCAAUGAAAAACAGAUGAUAGAUUUGGUGAACAUAUUGACAAAUCUGGUGCACUACAACCUUCAUGAGGAGCAGUGCGCCGAGUAGGUUGGCCGGAAUUGAGAAUACACAGUUUAUUAUAAUCUAUUAAAUCUAAAACUUCGUAACCCCAUUGAUUGUCUUUGUGACUCCCCCAUGACUGAUGCUGUGCAUUGAAGUCUCCUAGAAUUACUACUGGUUGUGAUGCAGCAAUGAUUGAAAAAUCAGAGUGAUGUGAUGGAAGAGGAAUGUGAUGAAAUGAUUGAUGGUGUUUGAUGAGCAUGGCUGUACCACCAUACCCAUCUGAUCUGUCUUCCCUGAGACAAGUGUAGCCAGAAAUCCUGAAAAGUGAUUCCGGCUUGAGCCAUGUCUCUUGUAAGGAAAGAACAAUAGGUGAUGAUGAUGAAGAAGUAGAUGAUAUUAACACGUCAGAAUAUAAUUUUGAAAUGGGAGGAUGUAACUUAGAAGCUUCUGAGUAGGAUAGACAAUUGUGAGCCAUUGACUCCUUAAUUGAUUUUUGGCGUUGGAAUUCUGGGCAUUUUUUAUCAGUUGCAAUGUGCGAACCGUGGCAAAUACAACAGUAAAUAGAUUCCUCUUCAACUGAGCAACUAUCACCAGCAUGCCCUUGGCCACACCUAAAGCAUCUAGGUGUUGACCGACAUUGGUUUUUGACAUGUCCGUAUCUACAGCAAUUGAAGCACUGUAUUGUAGGGAAUAUAUAUAAAUCUACAGGAAGUGCAUUAUAGCACAUGAAGACUCUCUUUGGUAGCGUCUGUCCGUCAAAUGUUAUUACCACAGAUUCGGUGUUAUUAAAUUGAGCGGUUCCAUUCA